rnacentral:rRNA from 1 species
AGCGAACGCUGGCGGCAGGCCUAAUACAUGCAAGUCGAACGGCUCUUCGGAGCAGUGGCGGACGGGUGAGUAACACGUGGGAACGUGCCCUUUGGUACGGAACAACUGAGGGAAACUUCAGCUAAUACCGUAUGUGCCCCCAUUCUUAGCGGGAUGGGUGGGAAAGAUUUAUCGCCAUUGGAGCGGCCCGCGUUGGAUUAGCUAGUUGGUGGGGUAAAGGCCCACCAAGGCUACGAUCCAUAGCUGGUCUGAGAGGAUGAUCGGCCACACUGGGACUGAGACACGGCCCAGACUACUACGGGAGGCAGCAGUAGGGAAUCUUGCGCAAUGGGCGAAAGCCUGACGCAGCCAUGCCGCGUGAAUGAUGAAGGUCUUAGGAUUGUAAAAUUCUUUCACCGGGGAAGAUAAUGACGGUACCCGGAGAAGAAGCCCCGGCUAACUUCGUGCCAGCCGCCGCGGUAA